AUACGGGGGGUGCAAGCGUUGUCCGGAAUCACUGGGCGUAAAGGGCGUGUAGGCGGGCUGAUAAGUCAGAUGUGAAAGCCCACGGCUUAACCGUGGAAUUGCAUUUGAUACUGUCAGUCUUGAGUGCGAGAGAGGGUAGUGGAAUUCCCGGUGUAGCGGUGAAAUGCGUAGAUAUCGGGAAGAACACCAGUAGCGAAGGCGGCUACCUGGCUCGCAACUGACGCUAAGGCGCGAAAGCGUGGGGAGCAAACAGGAGUAGAAACCCUUGUAGUCC
rnacentral:rRNA from 1 species